rnacentral:rRNA from 1 species
GAUGAACGCUGGCGGCGUGCCUAAUACAUGCAAGUCGAGCGAACAGACGAGGAGCUUGCUCCUUCGACGUUAGCGGCGGACGGGUGAGUAACACGUAGGUAACCUACCUAUAAGACUGGGAUAACUUCGGGAAACCGGAGCUAAUACCGGAUAAUAUUUCGAACCGCAUGGUUCGAUAGUGAAAGAUGGCUUUGCUAUCACUUAUAGAUGGACCUGCGCCGUAUUAGCUAGUUGGUAAGGUAACGGCUUACCAAGGCAACGAUACGUAGCCGACCUGAGAGGGUGAUCGGCCACACUGGAACUGAGACACGGUCCAGACUCCUACGGGAGGCAGCAGUAGGGAAUCUUCCGCAAUGGGCGAAAGCCUGACGGAGCAACGCCGCGUGAGUGAUGAAGGUCUUCGGAUCGUAAAACUCUGUUAUUAGGGAAGAACAAACGUGUAAGUAACUGUGCACGUCUUGACGGUACCGAAUCAGAAAGCCACGGCUAACUACGUG